rnacentral:rRNA from 1 species
GACGAACGCUGGCGGCGUGCCUAACACAUGCAAGUCGAGCGGGGAUUUAAGUGGAAGUUCUUCGGAAUGGAGAUUUAAAUUCUAGCGGCGGACGGGUGAGUAACGCGUGAACAAUCUGUCCCGGACAGGGGGAUAACACUUGGAAACAGGUGCUAAUACCGCAUAAGACCACGGCCUCGCAUGGGGCUGAGGUAAAAGGAGCAAUCCGGUUCGGGGUGAGUUCGCGUCCGAUUAGCUAGUUGGUGAGGUAACGGCCCACCAAGGCGACGAUCGGUAGCCGGCCUGGGGGGGUGAACGGCCACAUUGGAACUGAGAGACGGUCCAAACUCCUACGGGAGGAAGCAGUGGGGAAUAUUGGGCAAUGGGCGAAAGCCUGACCCAGCAACGCCGCGUGAGGGAAGAAGGUUUUCGGAUUGUAAACCUCUGUCCUAUGGGACGAAGGAAGUGACGGUACCAUAGGAGGAAGCCCCGGCUAACUACGUG